rnacentral:lncRNA from 1 species
GGGUGUAAGGUGACACGUCCAGGUAUUCAAUCGAUUUCCUGUCCGGCUGGCUUGCAAGUUCAUGCAUCGUUUCACUUCUGUAGGUAUUGAUCAGUGUACACGACCGUUACUUAUAACUUUCCAUUUUGAACUAUCAGGUGCAUGUAUAAUAUACAUUUUUGUCUUGCGUGUCCGAAAGUGAUAUUUAUACUAGUCAUUACUGAACUCAUACGCUUGUUUAUAAAUAACAUUUCUGGUGUAAAGAAUAUUAUCUAUAAAAAAAAAUUAAUACAAAAAAAAAAAUUGAAGAAAUACAAAUCUAUUUACAUAUUUUUCCAAGGGUUAAUUUGGGAAAAUGUAAUAUAUACUCAUUGUCAAUAGUUUAGGACAGAUUGGAACAUACCAGAAUUAUUGAUUUAAAAAAAUGUGCGCACUUGUCGACGAUUCGUGUAUACAUACGCCUAGGUAGAAAGUUACGGAACUAUAGUCAGUAGCGCAAUUUAAAAUAUGUAUACAUGUAUACAUUGAACAUAAGAAAGAAACAUACAUUUUGUGUAAAUUGUGGUAAAAGUUUUGUAAAUUAUUAUAGACUAGUCCACGUAUGCCAACAGUAUGUAAUCAACGAAUUCGAUAGACUAUUGUAUACCAAAAGAAGAAGAAGAAAAAAAAAGAAACAAUUUGAUUUAAAUACAGGUCAAUUUAUAACUUGCUUUGGUUCAUCGAAGUUAAGAACAUAGUAAACUCACAGAUUUAUAUAUCAAUUAGAUUGUUCUCGAAUAAAGGACGAAAUUCGUCAUCAUCACAAUUGUUCCAACAUUCAUGUAAAAUAUAUGCAACUGGACGUACACUAAUAAUCCCCAAGG